rnacentral:rRNA from 1 species
AGUGAACGCUGGCGGUAGGCCUAACACAUGCAAGUCGAACGGCAGCACAGGAGAGCUUGCUCUCUGGGUGGCGAGUGGCGGACGGGUGAGGAAUACAUCGGAAUCUACUCUGUCGUGGGGGAUAACGUAGGGAAACUUACGCUAAUACCGCAUACGACCUACGGGUGAAAGCAGGGGACCUUCGGGCCUUGCGCGAUUGAAUGAGCCGAUGUCGGAUUAGCCAGUUGGCGGGGUAAAGGCCCACCAAGGCGACGAUCCGUAGCUGGUCUGAGAGGAUGAUCAGCCACACUGGAACUGAGACACGGUCCAGACUCCUACGGGAGGCAGCAGUGGGGAAUAUUGGACAAUGGGCGCAAGCCUGAUCCAGCCAUACCGCGUGGGUGAAGAAGGCCUUCGGGUUGUAAAGCCCUUUUGUUGGGAAGGAAAUCCAGCUGGCUAAUACCCGGUUGGGAUGACGGUACCCAAAGAAUAAGCACCGGUUAACUUCGUGCCAGCCGCCGCAGUAA